UGCCAGCCUGAGAGCAGCUCCAGCCCAGUCGUUUUCAGACCAAGGAUCUCCAGUUCCACCCUGCCUUGCCUGUGACAUAUUGGUUUAGGUAUGAGGGUGUCUUUACCAGUGAGGGCAGUUCGUGGUGAAAUCAGAAAUGGUAACAGCUGAUUACAAAGUUGUGGCUCCAGGACAGCCCGUGAGCCAGCACCAGUGCUGUGCUGGAAAGGGUGUGAUAAAGCCCACCAUGAGGGUGGCCCAAAGAAAAGGAGUGAAUGCAGAGGAAGAACCCUGUGACAGACACCUCUGCCUCCUGCCCCCAGGCUGAUGGUCACAGCCUGGAGAAGCUUUUGCUGUGACAACCCAGGCAGAGCAAUCAUAAUAUAUUUUGCUUGGAAAGGAUAAAACCAAAUCAGCUCAUCUGUAACUUGCUGGCAGCAGGGAGGAAACUGCCUGGUACUCAGCCUGUGAUUCUCCAGAUUAUGUGUAGAUGUUUUGUGUAAUUUUAGAUAUCCUAGCAAUUGGCAGUGAUUCAUACCAGCUCUGCUGCUGCUUUCCUCCCCAUCAAAACAGCUCCCCAGCAGUUUGUGCCCCUGGCAUUACAUCAGCACAUCCUCAUCACGAGCUGGGGGACCUGGCUCUGCCCAGGGGGUCAACUCAGAGAAACUCUGCCUUGCUGGGGCUAGAGGAGAAGGAAGACUCAAAAUCUGGG